rnacentral:rRNA from 1 species
AGAGUUUGAUCCUGGCUCAGAUUGAACGCUGGCGGCAUGCCUUACACAUGCAAGUCGAACGGCAGCACGGGGGGCAACCCCUGGUGGCGAGUGGCGAACGGGUGAGUAAUAUAUCGGAACGUACCCUGUAGCGGGGGAUAACCUCUCGAAAGAGAGGCUAAUACCGCAUACGCUCUACGGAGGAAAGCGGAGGACCGCAAGGCUUCGCACUAUAGGAGCGGCCGAUACCGGAUUAGCUAGUUGGCGGGGUAACAGCCCACCAAGGCUACGAUCCGUAGCUGGUCUGAGAGGACGAUCAGCCACACUGGAACUGACACACGGUCCAGACUCCUACGGGAGGCAGCAGUGGGGAAUUUUGGACAAUGGGCGCAAGCCUGAUCCAGCCAUGCCGCGUGAGUGAAGAAGGCCUUCGGGUUGUAAAGCUCUUUCGGCGGGGACGAAACGGUUCGUGCUAACACCACGGACUAAUGACGGUACCCGCAGAAGAAGCACCGGCUAACUACGUGCCAGCAGCCGCGGUAAU